CGUAGGCAGCGAGCGUUGUUCGGAGUUACUGGGCGUAAAGAGUGCGUAGGCGGUUUUCUAAGUUUGGUGUGAAAUCUCCCGGCCCAACUGGGAGGGUGCGCCGAAGACUGGAAGGCUAGAGUAUGGGAGAGGUAAGCGGAAUUCCUGGUGUAGCGGUGAAAUGCGUAGAUAUCAGGAGGAACACCUGCGGUGUAGACGGCUUACUGGACCAUAACUGACGCUGAGGCACGAAAGCGUGGGUAGCAAACAGGAUUAGAUACCCUGGUAGUCCACGCCCUAAACGAUGCAUACUUGGUGUGGGUAGUUCAUUCUAUCCGUGCCGGAGCUAACGCGUUAAGUAUGCCGCCUGGGGAGUACGGUCGCAAGGCUG
rnacentral:rRNA from 1 species